CAAUAGCGUAUAUUAAAGUUGUUGCAGUUAAAAAGCUCGGAGUUGGAUUUCGGGGUGGCCUGGCUGGUCCGCCGCAAGGUGAGUACUGGUCAGCCGCCCUUCCUCUCGAAAGCCCCGACUGCUCUUUACUGCAGUGGUCGGGUAGUUCGGGACGUUUACUUUGAAAAAAUUAGAGUGUUCAAGGCAGGCUAUCGCCUGAAUACAUUAGCAUGGAAUAAUGGAAGAGGACCUCGGUCCUAUUUUGUUGGUUUCUAGGGCCGAAGUAAUGAUUAAGAGGGACAGUUGGGGGCAUUCGUAUUUAAUUGUCAGAGGUGAAAUUCUUGGAUUUAUGAAAGACGAACUAGUGCGAAAGCAUUUGCCAAGGAUGUUUUCAUUAA
rnacentral:rRNA from 1 species